GCCUAUGGUCAUGUUACCCUGAACAAGUCUGAUCCUGUCUGAUCUCAGAAGCUAAGCAGGGUCGGGCCUGGUUAGUACUUGGAUGGGAGGCCACCUAGAAAGACCAGGUGCCGUAGGAG
ensembl:rRNA 5S_rRNA 5S ribosomal RNA